rnacentral:rRNA from 1 species
UACGGAGGGUGCAAGCGUUGUCCGGAUUUAUUGGGUUUAAAGGGUGCGUAGGCGGCCCGGUAAGUCAGCGGUGAAAUCCCAGGGCUCAACCCUGGAACUGCCGUUGAUACUGCCGGGCUUGAGUUCGGUCGAGGCGGGCGGAACUGGUGGUGUAGCGGUGAAAUGCAUAGAUACCACCAAGAACCCCGAUUGCGAAGGCAGCUCGCUGGGCCGAAACUGACGCUGAGGCACGAAAGCGUGGGGAGCGAACAGG